AGUGAACGCUGGCGGUAGGCCUAACACAUGCAAGUCGAACGGCAGCGCAGUAAGAGCUUGCUCUUACGGGUGGCGAGUGGCGGACGGGUGAGGAAUACAUCGGAAUCUACUUUUUCGUGGGGGAUAACGUAGGGAAACUUACGCUAAUACCGCAUACGACCUACGGGUGAAAGCAGGGGAUCUUCGGACCUUGCGCGAUUGAAUGAGCCGAUGUCGGAUUAGCUAGUUGGCGGGGUAAAGGCCCACCAAGGCGACGAUCCGUAGCUGGUCUGAGAGGAUGAUCAGCCACACUGGAACUGAGACACGGUCCAGACUCCUACGGGAGGCAGCAGUGGGGAAUAUUGGACAAUGGGCGCAAGCCUGAUCCAGCCAUACCGCGUGGGUGAAGAAGGCCUUCGGGUUGUAAAGCCCUUUUGUGGGGAAAGAAAAGCAGCAGGUUAAUACCCCGCUGUUCUGACGGUACCCAAAGAAUAAGCACCGGCUAACUUCGUG
rnacentral:rRNA from 1 species